rnacentral:rRNA from 1 species
UACGGGGGGGGCAAGCGUUGUUCGGAAUUACUGGGCGUAAAGGGCUCGUAGGCGGCCAAAUAAGUCAGACGUGAAAUCCCUCGGCUUAACCGGGGAACUGCGUCUGAUACUGGAUGGCUAGAGUUUGGGAGAGGGAUGCGGAAUUCCAGGUGUAGCGGUGAAAUGCGUAGAUAUCGUGAGGAAGACCAGUUGCGAAAGCGGGUCUCUGGGCAAUUCCUGACGCUGAGGCACGAAGGCUAGGGGAGCAAACGGG